rnacentral:rRNA from 1 species
AUGAAUAUUAAAUGGCCGCAGUACCCUGACUGUGCUAAGGUAGCAUAAUCAAUUGGCCUUUAAUUGAGGUCUGGAAUGAAUGGAUAUACGGAAGCAAGCUGUCUCUCUUGGAGUUUAUGAAAUUAUUUUUAGGGUGCAAAUUCCCUUAGUAAGAAAAUAGACGAGAAGACCCUAAGAGUUUUGAUUAUAGGUAAAGCUUUUACUUUUUUUUUGCUGGGGCGGCAAAGAAACAUUUAACUUUCUUGCUAUAAUUAAUAAUCGACGCGAUUUAUGAAGAACUAAAAAACUACCUUAGGGAUAACAGCAUAAUAUUUCAAUGUUUGUGACCUCGAUGUUGGACUAGGAAAGCUUUUGGCUAGCCGCCAAGAGUAUAUGUUCUGUUCGAACAAU